AUUGAACGCUGGCGUCAUGCCUUACACAUGCAAGUCGAACGGCAGCGCGGGAGCAAUCCUGGCGGCGAGUGGCGAACGGGUGAGUAAUAUAUCGGGAACGUGCCCUGUAGCGGGGGGAUAACCUAUCGAAAGAUGGACUAAUACCGCAUACGCUCUACGGAGGAAAGCGGGGGUCGCAAGACCUCGCACUACAGGAGCGGCCGAUAUCGGAUUAGCUAGUUGGCGGGGUAAAAGCCCACCAAGGCUACGAUCCGUAGCUGGUCUGAGAGGAUGAUCAGCCACACUGGAACUGAGACACGGUCCAGACUCCUACGGGAGGCAGCAGUGGGGAAUUUUGGACAAUGGGCGCAAGCCUGAUCCAGCCAUGCCGCGUGAGUGAAGAAGGCCUUCGGGUUGUAAAGCUCUUUCGGCAGGAACGAAAUGGUUCGUGCUAAUACCACGGACUGAUGACGGUACCUGAAGAAGAAGCACCGGCUAACUACGUGCCAGCAGCCGCGGUAAUACGUAGGGUGCAGGCGUUAAUCGGAAUUACUGGGCGUAAAGCGUGCGCAGGCGGUUUCUUAAGUCAGAUGUGAAAGCCCCGGGCUUAACCUGGGAACUGCGUUUGAAACUGGGAGUCUUGAGUGUGGCAGAGGGGGGUGGAAUUCCACGUGUA
rnacentral:rRNA from 1 species